GACGAACGCUGGCGGCGUGCCUAAUACAUGCAAGUCGAACGAGAGCAACCGGUGCUUGCACUGGUCAAUCUAGUGGCGAACGGGUGAGUAACACGUGGGUAACCUGCCCAUCAGAGGGGGAUAACAUCCGGAAACGGAUGCUAAAACCGCAUAGGUCUUCGAACCGCAUGGUUUGAAGGGGAAAAGAGGCGCAAGCUUCUGCUGAUGGAUGGACCCGGGGUGCAUUAGCUAGUUGGUGAGGUAACGGCUCACCAAGGCGGUGAUGCAUAGCCGACCUGAGAGGGGGAUCGGCCACAUUGGGACUGGGACACGGCCCAAACUCCUACGGGAGGCAGCAGUAGGGAAUCUUCCGCAAUGGACGCAAGUCUGACGGAGCAACGCCGCGUGAGUGAAGAAGGUGUUCGGAUCGUAAAACUCUGUUGUUAGAGAAGAACAAGUGCUAGAGUAACUGUUAGCGCCUUGACGGUAGCUAACCAGAAAGCCACGGCUAACUACGUG
rnacentral:rRNA from 1 species